ACAGUAAACGAUGAAUACUCGCUGUUUGCGAUACACGGUAAGCGGCCAAGCGAAAGCGUUAAGUAUUCCACCUGGGGAGUACGCCGGCAACGGUGAAACUCAAAGGAAUUGACGGGGGCCCGCACAAGCGGAGGAACAUGUGGUUUAAUUCGAUGAUACGCGAGGAACCUUACCCGGGCUUAAAUUGCGCUGGCUUUUACCGGAAACGGUAUUUUCUUCGGACCAGCGUGAAGGUGCUGCAUGGUUGUCGUCAGCUCGUGCCGUGAGGUGUCGGCUUAAGUGCCAUAACGAGCGCAACCCUUAUCUUUAGUUACUAACAGUUUUGCUGAGGACUCUAAAGAGACUGCCGUCGUAAGAUGCGAGGAAGGUGGGGAUGACGUCAAAUCAGCACGGCCCUUACGUCCGGGGCUACACACGUGUUACAAUGGGGAGCACAGCAGGUUGCUACACGGCGACGUGAUGCCAAUCCGUAAAACUCCUCUCAGUUCGGAUCGAAGUCUGCAACCCGACUUCGUGAAGCUGGAUUCGCUAGUAAUCGCGCAUCAGCCACGGCGCGGUGAAUAC
rnacentral:rRNA from 1 species